rnacentral:rRNA from 1 species
UACAGAGGUCUCAAGCGUUGUUCGGAUUCAUUGGGCGUAAAGGGUGUGUAGGUGGCGCGCUAAGUCGGGUGUGAAAACUGGAGGCUCAACCUUCAGAGGUCGACCGAAACCAUCUGGCUAGAGUCCGGGAGAGGAGAGUGGGAAUUCCUGGUGUAGCGGUGAAAUGACGCAGAUAUCAGGAAGAACACCCGUGGCGAAGGCGGCUCUCUGGGACGGUACUGACGCUGAGACGCGAAAGCGUGGGGAGCGAACAGG